CCUACGGGAGGCAGCAGUGGGGAAUAUUGCACAAUGGGGGAAACUCUGAUGCAGCGACGCCGCGUGAGUGAAGAAGUAACUCGUUAUGUAAAGCUCUAUUAGCAGGGAAGUAAAUGACGGUACCUGAGUAAGAAUCCCCGGCUAACUACGUGCCAGCAGCCGCGGUAAUACGUAGGGGGCCAGCGUUAUCCGGAUUUACCGGGUGUAAAGGGAGCGUAGACGGCAGUGCAAGUCUGGAGUGAAAGGCGGGGGCUCAACCCCCGGACUGCUCUGGAGACUGUACGGCUAGAGUGCAGGAGAGGUAAGUGGAAUGCCUGGUGUAGCGGUGAAAUGCGUAGAUAUUAGGAGGAACACCAGUGGCGAAGGCGGCUUACUGAACUGUAACUGACGUUGAGGCUCGAAAGCGUGGGGAGCAAACAGGAUUAGAUACCCCAGUAGUC
rnacentral:rRNA from 1 species